AUUAUCAAUUUGGCUGAAAAU
rnacentral:miRNA from 1 species